UGGCUUCAAUAUCUACAAAGGCCUUCAGCUCAGCCACCUGAAGAGUCUGCGGCUGGUGUCAUCAUUGGCCUAUUAAAGGAUGAAGAGGUGUCGCAUAUUUCUAUUUUCAUGAUGUGUGUUGCUGCUUGAAAUUUGUAUCCUCUGGUUGCUGCAACCACAGCCAUGUAUCUCAGUUGUUAACAUUCUCUGAUCAUUUUAUUCUUUUCUUACUGUAUUCGUUCAGUGUAGAUGAGCUGUUACAGAAACUUUUGUCCGAAAGAGAUGCAUACCUCCAAUUCAAACAUUCAAUUGGCCGGCUUGAAAUUCAAAAUCAUAGUCAUUCACACAACAGAAUUGGCCACUGCGCAAGAGAGAGUUAAUGAGCUGGUGAGGAGAAUAGACAAAACCCUUAAAUUUUUGCCCCAGCAUCCCUGGUCAAUAGAGGCUCCGAGGUAAAACUAUCAUUGUUUUCAUUGAAAGACAUGGAGAGCUUUCUGAUUUCAUGGCAAUCUAAUAUGUGCCCUAAGCCCUUUGUUGUUUGUGGAGGCAAGGGACGAGGAAGAACGGGAAUCCCAGAUCCUGCACAGGCAGUUUCUUGAUGGGGAGGUUGGUUUAGUCAUUUCCGUGCCAUUAUACCAAAAGACGCGUUAUCUAAUACCACAGGCGUGCUCUCACCCAUCUUGCGGCCAAUUUGGGGCAUGAGCAAGGUCAUUACGAAAAACAGGGGGAGAGACUUGUGGUGUGUCAACCCUAGAACUUGUCCAGCCAUGCAGUUUGGGACUCUGCUAUUGUAUUUUAGGCACUUCUAGCUGUCUUCUAAGCAUAUGCCCCCUUUUCACACUCUGAAUUCUGAUGAAUGUCUUUGCCAGGGGGGGUCUGGCUGUGUUUCAUUGAUUCAGCAAUAUAAUGAAAUCGCUUCGAUGGCAACAAGGCCAAAAUUUUCUUGCCAAUCUCAUCAGUGAUGGCUCUUCUAAUUCUUUUUUAUUUUUAUUUAUGAUCUCUGAAAAGUGAAAAUUACAGAUACAACAUGAUGUCGAAGUCAUCCGGUACACUUGCAGCAAAAAGGUAAUGGAUAAGAACAUUUCUACGCCAUUGAUGUUCCUAAUCUUAAGAUUAAGGGGGAAGGUAUUGAUAUGUGAAGAAAAAGUAAGAAGCACAUACUGCGGGAAACCUUCAGCAGAAUGGUCAUUCCCCUCGGGAAUCUACUUUUUUAUCAUUCAAGCGGUCUAGUUCUUUCUCCCAUUUCAGACCAAACAUCUGGCGGCCAAAAGGAACGAUGAGGUUGUAGCGGAAAACCUGCAUUUAAACUUAGUUCGGGUAAAAAAAAUGCAGCAAAAUCCUUUCAAAAGUGAACCAAAACAAACUUUAUUAUUGACUCACUUUAUCAUUAAUGCCACGCAACUGCGUUUUCAGAGCAUCUGCGAGUUCGGUCCAUUUAGAGUUUUUUCCUUCUGCCUUAUGCGCUAAGGCUCUAUGCAGGGCUAGUCGCCAUUCAGCGAUAUUAUUCCUGAUUUCUUUGUUCAGCUCAACCCACUCUGGUGCACAUUUAUUUCUUGAAAGAAUUCUGUAUAAGGUGUCUUCAGCGGGAUCAGCAUGCGGAUUAGUGUUAAGAUCAAGGGGCUUUCCUUUCCCUGGUAAAUUCUCAAACUGCCCUUCUUCCAUGGAAUGCCAUAUCCUUUGCUCAACUAUAUUUAUAAUAUCAGUUUCAGAUCUGUCCAAAUAUAAAAUCCAGCUUAAAUUGUCAGGAGUCCUUGAUAAAAAACAGAUUAGACACUGCAGAAUGCGCGGGGCUCCCUGCUUUGCGAUGGUUGGGGGAGGGUCAUAUUCUAUGGGCAGCCUCCCCCCCCCCCAGGGCGGCCCACCCUAACCCCUUUUGGGCAAGAAUUCCAUUAUUCCAACAAAA